rnacentral:rRNA from 1 species
GGACCCGCACAAGCGGUGGAUGAUGUGGAUUAAUUCGAUGCAACGCGAAAAACCUUACCUACCCUUGACAUGUCCAGAAGCCUGAAGAGAUUUGGGUGUGCCCGAAAGGGAGCUGGAACACAGGUGCUGCAUGGCUGUCGUCAGCUCGUGUCGUGAGAUGUUGGGUUAAGUCCCGCAACGAGCGCAACCCUUGUCGUUAAUUGCCAUCAUUUAGUUGGGCACUUUAACGAGACUGCCGGUGACAAACCGGAGGAAGGUGGGGAUGACGUCAAGUCCUCAUGGCCCUUAUGGGUAGGGCUUCACACGUCAUACAAUGGUCGGUACAGAGGGUUGCCAAGCCGCGAGGUGGAGCCAAUCCCAGAAAGCCGAUCGUAGUCCGGAUCGUAGGCUGCAACUCGCCUGCGUGAAGUCGGAAUCGCUAGUAAUCGCGGAUCAGCAUGUCGCGGUGAAUACGUUCCCGGGUCUU